GCACGCGUAGCUCAAUUGGAUAGAGCUCUUGACUACGGAUCAGGGGGUUGGGGGUUCGAAUCCCUCCGCGUGUA
rnacentral:tRNA from 1 species